GGCCCGGUGGCGGGUCGUCCGCGCCUGCACACAAUUCCUGGAUGAGACAUUCUUCUGCAGGAGUCGCUCGUUCGAAUCGAGCCUGGGCCA